CUCCGCGGCAUGUGGGAUCUUCCCAGACCGGGGCACAAACCCAUGUCCCCUGCAUCGGCAAGCGGACUCUCAACCACUGCGCCACCAGGGAAGCCCAACGAGUGACAAUUUUAAGGUGGCAAUUUACAUCAUCUCAUUUACUCUUCACAACAACCCUACAAAUCCUAGACAUAGUGGACACAAACAGCUGCACUGCCCUGUUGGUAGAAAACUCAUCUCUGACAUCAAGCUUCAAAACUUUGAAUGGAAGAAAAGCAGUGUUAUAAAUGGUGAUUAGACUCUAAUUAGCAACUGGAGGUAUGGUUUAUUAUAGCGGAAAAGGUUUUUGUAAGCCAAGCUGCUAAUUCAUUGCAAUCAACUGACUAAUAAAGAAACUCUUAUAACACAAUCCUAAACUGG